rnacentral:tRNA from 1 species
GUGUUUAUAAUGAAUUUUAAAAAAACGCCCUUUCACGGCGGUAACAGGGGUUCGAAUCCCCUUGGGGACGCCA